CGCAUAACAACUUGGACCGCAUGGUCCGAGUUUGAAAGAUGGCUUCGGCUAUCACUUUUGGAUGGUCCCGCGGCGUAUUAGCUAGAUGGUGGGGUAACGGCUCACCAUGGCAAUGAUACGUAGCCGACCUGAGAGGGUAAUCGGCCACAUUGGGACUGAGACACGGCCCAAACUCCUACGGGAGGCAGCAGUAGGGAAUCUUCCACAAUGGACGAAAGUCUGAUGGAGCAACGCCGCGUGAGUGAAGAAGGGUUUCGGCUCGUAAAACUCUGUUGUUAAAGAAGAACAUAUCUGAGAGUAACUGUUCAGGUAUUGACGGUAUUUAACCAGAAAGCCACGGCUAACUACGUGCCAGCAGCCGCGGUAAUACGUAGGUGGCAAGCGUUGUCCGGAUUUAUUGGGCGUAAAGCGAGCGCAGGCGGUUUUUUAAGUCUGAUGUGAAAGCCUUCGGCUCAACCGAAGAAGUGCAUCGGAAACUGGGAAACUUGAGUGCAGAAGAGGACAGUGGAACUCCAUGUGUAGCGGUGAAAUGCGUAGAUAUAUGGAAGAACACCAGUGGCGAAGGCGGCUGUCUGGUCUGUAACUGACGCUGAGGCUCGAAAGUAUGGGUAGCAAACAGGAUUAGAUACCCUGGUAGUCCAUACCGUAAACGAUGAAUGCUAAGUGUUGGAGGGUUUCCGCCCCUUCAGUGCUGCAGCUAACGCAUUAAGCAUU
rnacentral:rRNA from 2 species